rnacentral:rRNA from 1 species
GACGAACGCUGGCGGCGUGCUUAACACAUGCAAGUCGAACGAUUGGCGAACGGGUGAGUAUUACGCGGGUAACCUGUCCUUUCUUUGGGAUAAGCCUUGGAAACGCGGCUUAUUACCGCACAAAGGGGGAUGGGCUCGCGGACUAUCAGCUUGUUGGUGGGGUGGUGGCCUAAGAAGGCGGGGACGGGUCGCCGGCCUGAGAGGGUGACCGGCAACGAUGGGACGGAGAGACGGCCAAGAGUCCUACGGGAGGCAGCAGUGGGGGAUAUGGCGCAAUGGGCGAAGGCCUGAUGCAGCGACGCCGCGUGGGGGAUGAAGGCUUUCGGGUUGUAAACCUCUUUCGCAAUCGAACGGGUAGGUGGAGAAGAAGCGCCGGCUAACUACGUGCCAGCAGCCGCGGUAAUUC